rnacentral:rRNA from 1 species
UACAGAGGUCUCAAGCGUUGUUCGGAAUUACUGGGCGUAAAGCGUGCGCAGGCGGUUGUGUAAGACAGAUGUGAAAUCCCCGGGCUCAACCUGGGAACUGCAUUUGUGACUGCACAGCUGGAGUGCGGCAGAGGGGGAUGGAAUUCCGCGUGUAGCAGUGAAAUGCGUAGAUAUGCGGAGGAACACCGAUGGCGAAGGCAAUCCCCUGGGCCUGCACUGACGCUCAUGCACGAAAGCGUGGGGAGCAAACAGG